GACUAAGGUUUCCAGAGGAAGGCUCGUCCGCUCUGGGUUAGUCGGGUCCUAAGCUGAGGCCGACAGGCGUAGGCGAUGGAUAACAGGUUGAUAUUCCUGUACCACCUAUAAUCGUUUUAAUCGAUGGGGGGACGCAGUAGGAUAGGCGAAGCGUGCGAUUGGAUUGCACGUCUAAGCAGUAAGGCUGAGUAUUAGGCAAAUCCGGUACUCGUUAAGGCUGAGCUGUGAUGGGGAGAAGACAUUGUGUCUUCGAGUCGUUGAUUUCACACUGCCGAGAAAAGCCUCUAGAU
rnacentral:rRNA from 1 species